UACGUAGGUGGCGAGCGUUAUCCGGAUUUACUGGGUGUAAAGGGCGUGUAGGCGGGAGAGCAAGUCAGACGUGAAAUUCCAGGGCUCAACCCUGGAACUGCGUUUGAAACUGUUCUUCUUGAGUGAUGGAGAGGCAGGCGGAAUUCCGUGUGUAGCGGUGAAAUGCGUAGAUAUACGGAGGAACACCAGUGGCGAAGGCGGCCUGCUGGACAUUAACUGACGCUGAGGCGCGAAAGCGUGGGGAGCAAACAGG
rnacentral:rRNA from 1 species